UACGUAGGCAGCAAGCGUUUGUUCGGAGUUACUGGGCGUAAAGGGUGUGUAGGCGGUUUUUUUAAGUUUGGUGUGAAAUCUCCCGGCUCAACUGGGAGGGUGCGCCGAAUACUGAAAGACUAGAGUGCGGGAGAGGAAAGUGGAAUUCCUGGUGUAGCGGUGAAAUGCGUAGAUAUCAGGAGGAACACCGGUGGUGUAGACGGCUUUCUGGACCGUAACUGACGCUGAGACACGAAAGCGUGGGUAGCAAACAGG
rnacentral:rRNA from 1 species